GAAUCCAAGCUAUCUCCGCAAAUAACCAUCUUCAUCUUUACGGGCCUCAACUUUAAAUCCCUCGGCUAAGACAUCUGGAAGGGCAGGCAGGGAGUAAAAUUAGAAGAUUGGAACUGUACAUUGGGAAAGCUGGAAGAUACCUCAGGCGCGCAUAUGUUGUUCCAAAAUCGAAGUGAUUGAACUUAGGAAUUUUGCGAAGACGCGAGCGCAGGAGUUGGUACGAAGAGCUUUAUUCUGUUAUUAGUUUUGAAGGCCACUGUCAAAAACUGUGAGGUUUAAUGUGCUGAAGGUGAUUCCAGCAGGCGCCUCCUGGGGUGGAAAGAAG